CGCGGCCUAUCAGCUUGUUGGUGAGGUAACGGCUCACCAAGGCAACGACGGGUAGCUGGUCUGAGAGGACGAUCAGCCACACUGGAACUGAGACACGGUCCAGACUCCUACGGGAGGCAGCAGCAGGGAAUCUUGCGCAAUGGGCGAAAGCCUGACGCAGCGACGCCGCGUGGGGGAUGAAGGCCUUCGGGUUGUAAACCCCUUUCAGGAGGGAAGAAAAUGACGGUACCUCCAGAAGAAGCCCCGGCCAACUACGUGCCAGCAGCCGCGGUAAUACGUAGGGGGCGAGCGUUGUCCGGAUUUAUUGGGCGUAAAGGGCUCGUAGGCGGCUUGACAAGUCGAUCGUGAAAACUCAGGGCUCAACCCUGAGGCGCCGGUCGAUACUGUCAUGGCUAGGGUCCGGUAGAGGAGAAUGGAAUUCCCGGUGUAGCGGUGAAAUGCGCAGAUAUCGGGAGGAACACCAGUAGCGAAGGCGGUUCUCUGGGCCGGUACCGACGCUGAGGAGCGAAAGCGUGGGGAGCAAACAGGAUUAGAUACCCUGGUAGUCCACGCCGUAAACGUUAGGUGCUAGGUGUGGCGUCUUUAUCAACGGAUGCCGUGCCGAAGCUAACGCGUUAAGUACCCCGCCUGGGGAGUACGG
rnacentral:rRNA from 1 species